AUGUCACCACAAACAGAAACUAAAGCAGGUGUUGGAUUUAAAGCUGGUGUUAAAGAUUAUAAAUUGACUUACUACACCCCAGAGUAUGAAACUAAGGAUACUGAUAUCUUGGCAGCAUUCCGAGUAUGUAUUCGUAAAUUAUGUUGCUCAGAAAUUAUAAACAAUAAUUGUUUGUCUUAG
rnacentral:rRNA from 1 species